rnacentral:rRNA from 1 species
UGGGGGAUAUUGCGCAAUGGGGGAAACCCUGACGCAGCAAUGCCGCGUGAAGGAAGAAGGCCUUCGGGUUGUAAACUUUUGUCUUUGGUGAAGAAAAAAAUGACGGUAGCCAAGGAGGAAGCUCCGGCUAACUACGUGCCAGCAGCCGCGGUAAUACGUAGGGAGCGAGCGUUGUCCGGAUUUACUGGGUGUAAAGGGCGUGUAGGCGGGUAAAUAAGUCAGGUGUGAAAUACCGAAGCUCAACUUCGGGGCUGCACUUGAAACUAUAUAUCUUGAGUGAUGGAGAGGAAAGCGGAAUUCCUAGUGUAGCGGUGAAAUGCGUAGAUAUUAGGAGGAACACCAGUGGCGAAGGCGGCUUUCUGGACAUUAACUGACGCUGAGGCGCGAAAGCGUGGGGAGCAAACA